GUCGAGCGCGGGAGCGAGCUGAAGCCCUUCGGGGUGGACGCUCGUGGAACGAGCGGCGGACGGGUGAGUAACACGUGGGCAACCUACCUGUGAGACGGGGAUAACUCCGGGAAACCGGGGCUAAUACCGGAUAACGCAUCGAACCGCAUGGUUCGAUGAUCAAAGAUGGCUUCUAGCUAUCACUCACAGAUGGGCCCGCGGCGCAUUAAUUAGUUGGUGAGGUAAUGGCUCACCAAGGCGACGAUGCGUAGCCGACCUGAGAGGGUGAUCGGCCACACUGGGACUGAGACACGGCCCAGACUCCUACGGGAGGCAGCAGUAGGGAAUCAUCCGCAAUGGACGCAAGUCUGACGGUGCAACGCCGCGUGAGCGAUGAAGGUCUUCGGAUCGUAAAGCUCUGUUGUGAGGGAAGAACAAGUGCCGUUCGAAUAGGGCGGCACCUUGACGGUACCUCACCAGAAAGCCCCGGCUAACUACGUGCCAGCAGCCGCGGUAAUACGUAGGGGGCAAGCGUUGUCCGGAAUUAUUGGGCGUAAAGCGCGCGCAGGCGGUUCCUUAAGUCUGAUGUGAAAGGCCACAGCUCAACUGUGGAGGGCCAUUGGAAACUGGGGAACUUGAGGACAGAAGAGGAGAGCGGAAUUCCACGUGUAGCGGUGAAAUGCGUAGAUAUGUGGAGGAACACCAGUGGCGAAGGCGGCUCUCUGGUCUGUAACUGACGCUGA
rnacentral:rRNA from 1 species